UGUGGUUUUUUAGGCUUUGUGAGUAUCCAUUUGAGAAUUUGUACCACAAUGCAAGCAAAAAGCUGACUUAAAUUGUGAGAUUAUGGUUUUGAUGUUACUGACUCGUGAGUAGUGCUGGAAGAACUGCAGUGGGAAAAGGAGCUUCCAACAUGUAAUUUGGUUUUGUCCUAAAAUAUAGACACAUUGUCAAGAAAUAGUAACUGUUACCAGAAAUACUGCUGGAAUGAAAAGUAUUGUGUUCUCUCCACUGGAAAUAAUCUUAGAAGAUGAUACCAAAAUAGCUAACACUAAAACACAAAGUCCCUGCAAGGAGAGCGUGCCCUGGUUCAGCAGAACAGGUAAAUACGCAGGAGUUCUGCCCAGUUGAAGACCCUUGUGUGCUAGGAUUUGAACAUGUGCUGCUCACCGAAUAUCCUGGGUUGGAUGGGACCCAUGAGGACCAUGGAGUCCAACCCCCAGUUCCACACGGGGCCACCCAAACCUAUGUCUGACAGCAGUGUUUUGCCGGUGUUGGAACAGAAAUUAGAGGAGCAAUUCCACUGCAACUUGUGGGCUUGUGUAGGCUUCAUGAAGGCCCCAGACGUUGCGUUGUUCCAAUGGCCUCCAUGAGCAGAUCAUGGAAGGCAGCCAGGUUUGAGCUGGGCUCCCUCAUGCCUCAAUGCAGCAGCUGGCGACCCUCCCUUG
rnacentral:lncRNA from 7 species